GUAAAAAAAAAAUAGGGAGAGAACAUUUAACAAUUGUUUAAAAGUCUAGCACUUUAUAUUUUGAUGAUCGUAACUUGGUAACCUUUACAAUAUUUAAAUUCGUAUAUUUUCCUUGGCACGGGUUUCUAUUGUGUUAAAAACGAAAGUAAAAUUUUUGUGUUGACAUGGGUACAGGUUCUGGGACAGUUAUAGGUCUAGGUAUAGACUUAGUGUUUUUAACCUUCGUAUAUUAUUGGUACAAAAGGUCCAACAGGUCAGCAGACGAAAUUAAGAAUUCCAAAACCUUGAAGAUUGAUGAGACGUUGGAAGGGACAGUGAGGAGUGCAAAGGACUCUUUUAUACCAUAUGCCUGCGUUAUAGGUGAGGUAACUCCCGUUAGCAGCACUCUUCAUAGUCGCCAUGUGGAGGGCCAGAAUGGAGUUAUUCAGCGCAUCAGGCUUGAAGAGCACAAGUCACAAAAAGUGGAGGGCCUUUGGUCAGAUGCUGUUAAAGUUAUCCAGGAUAAAAUACAGUCAGUACCCUUCACCCUUCAGCGUGUCUGCAGUAAUGAGAAGCCAGCAGAUGUUCUGGUUGUUGAUCCAGAAUCAGCCAACUACAUCAUUGAGGAUCUUACACUUACCCAUGAUGCUUUUCAACCAGUAAAUGCAGGAGGAUUUUUGUCUCGUUUAGUAGACAGGUUUUCAGGUGAUAUGAUAAAGGGGUAUCACGAGUCUGAGAAAAUGCUCCUCAAUAACACCACGCUUCUUGCGAUAGGUGAAUUGCGCUAUCUAGAUGGUAAAAUACAAAUUGCACCUCCCAGAUCAGGCGCAAAGUACAUUCUUACAAAGAAAAGUUUACCUGAUAUUAUUCAACUUGCUGAGAAGAAGUCCUUUUGGAUCAAAGUUUUGUUAAUAGGGACAGCAACAGUAGGGGCAGCAUUGUUAGGCAAACUUAUGUAUGAUGUAUAUCAAAGAAGAAAGGAAGAAUAUGAGAGAAUAAGGAAUAAUGCUGAGAUGCGUAGGCUGAUGGCAGAAGCUCAGAGCAGAGGAUCACUUACUGCAUUGAACACCGAUGGAGACAAUGAAGAUAGAAACACUUGUGUGGUAUGCCUGUCCAAUCCACGUCAGAUAGUGCUCCUAGACUGUGGCCACAUCUGCCUGUGUGCUGAUUGCGUGAUGCAACUACAUUUGCCAAUGUCUUGUCCAGUAUGCAGGCAGCCAGUUGUUAGAUAUAUUCCCACUUAUAACCCCUGACAUAGUAUUAGUUUUUCAACAAGAUAUUGAGUGAUUUUUAAUUAAUCAGGAAUAAAAUUAAAUUUUGGUUGCUUAACUUCCAAAAAUAAAAUGUUAAAAAACAUACCCAUUUUAAGUCAAGCCUAGUAAUAUUCAGUUCUACAUUGCCAUUUUUAGUCAAGCCUAGUAAUAUUCAGCUCUACAUUCCAAUUUUAAGUCAAGCCUAGUAAUAUUCAGUUCUACAUUCCAUUUUUAGUCAAGCCUAGUAAUAUUCAGUUCUACAUUCCCAUUUUUAGUCAAGCCUAGUAAUAUUCAGUUCUUCAUAAUGAUGAUCACAGUUUCAAACACGAAGAAGAAAUCAUGUAGAGAUAAAAAUAUAGUAUUUAAAUAUUAAUAAAAUUGGUAAACUUAACGUUAGUAUAAUAAUUAUGAAGUGGAUGUAAUGCUAGUAUGGCUUGAUUGGUCAUUGUCGGCUCGGGUACUUUUUACAUGUACCCCGGGUACUCUUAAGUAUACAUACAUGUACCCCGAGUACGAGAAAUAUACUUAAACAUACCCGGUCGAUAUUAGACUGUACCCGAGUUUUAUUCCCGCCAAAAAUCUGAUGUCGUAAAACGCGCUACUAAAUACCCUUAAACAAUAUUGUUCAUCUUAAACAAACUUUUCUUUAAAAAAAAAUCAUCAACAUGCUUUUUAGUAUGAGUUUCGAUAAUACAGAGGCCAUUUAACAGAAAAUUUACAUAAAUGAGUACAUCAUUUAUUUUAAAAAAGCUGACAACAACCGAUUUAGUUUAAAAAUUCCCGGGUACGUUUCAUUGUGUCACACCGGUCUUACAAUAACGUAGUGACGUCACCAUUUAUGUAUAGAAUGGGGUACGUUUUAGUAUAUUUACCAUACCCGGGGUACAUGUAAGUAUACAUAAGAUUACCCGGGGUACAUGUAAGUAGAACCCGAGCCGACAAUCAAGCGCUAGUAUGACGUUAUGAGAACCUAUAUCAGUUUAGUUAGGUGUGUGAGGUAAUAUUACACAAGAGUUGCAGGCCCAGGUUGAACUGAUUAUAACACGCAGAACAACCUACUAGUGAAAUUGUCCAUUUAUAAUACACCUUUUUUUCUAAAUUAUUCUCUUUAAAACCAAAAUAUCACUAACUGUUUUAUGUUUGGUUACUGAAAACAAGGAUUUGGGCUGAAUGAUGAUUGGUGUGAAAGCAGGUUGAAUGUCUGUAUAAAUAUAAAAAGGAAUUGUGUGUACUAGUAUGAUAUGGAAACAAAAACGAUGUGUCAAAUAUGAUUUUUCAUAUUUUCAAGUGCAUUUGUGGUAAACAAUUUAUACAUGUAUAAGAAAUGUAUGUACCGGUUCUACAAGUGUGAUCAUAAAGUCAGUGAAAGGAUAAGAAAUAAAACAAAUAAAUACAUAUAUGAA